GGUUUAAUUCGAUGAUACGCGAGGAACCUUACCCGGGCUUGAAUUGCAGAGGAAGGAUUUGGAGACAAUGACGCCCUUCGGGGUCGUCUGUGAAGGUGCUGCAUGGUUGUCGUCAGCUCGUGCCGUGAGGUGUCGGCUUAAGUGCCAUAACGAGCGCAACCCCUCUCCUUAGUUGCCAUCAGGUCAUGCUGGGCACUCUGGGGACACUGCCACCGUAAGGUGUGA
rnacentral:rRNA from 1 species